rnacentral:rRNA from 1 species
AGCUCCAAUAACACAUAUUGAAGUUGUCGCGGCUAAAACAAAACGUAGUUGGAUUACUGCUGAAGACGACUGGUCUGCCCUCUGGGUGAGUAUCCGGCUCGGCCUCGGCAUUAUCUUGGAGAACGCAACUGCACUUGACUGUGUGGUGUAGUAUGCAUGACUUUCACAUCUUGAGGAAUUUCGAAUGCCUCGAACAGGCGCACGCCUUGAACACAUUAGCAUGGAAGAGUAAGAUCGGACCUUGGUUCUAUAUUGUUGGUUUCUAGAAGUGGGGUGAUGAUUAAUAUGGAUAGUUGGGGGCAUUCGUAGUUAACUGUCAGAGGGGAAACUCUUGGAUUUGUUAAGAGGUCAACCGCGAAAGAAUUUGCCAAGGAUGUCCA